UAACUGCGAGUGAAGCGGCAAAAGCUCAAAUUUGAAAUCUGACGUCUUUGACGUUCGAGUUGUAAUUUGGAGGGGCACUUUCGGUGCUGGUGCCGUCCUAAGUUCCUUGGAACAGGACGUCUUAGAGGGUGAGAAUCCCGUGCCAGGAUGGCCUACCAGUUCCAUGUGAGGUGUCUCCGACGAGUCGAGUUGUUUGGGAAUGCAGCUCAAAAUGGGUGGUAAAUUUCAUCUAAAGCUAAAUACCGGCGAGAGACCGAUAGCGCACAAGUAGAGUGAUCGAAAGAUGAAAAGCACUUUGAAAAGAGAGUUAAAAAGUACGUGAAAUUGUUGAAAGGGAAGCUCUUGAGACCAGACUCAACCCUUGGUGAUCAACCGUGCUUUUGUGCGGUGCACUUGCUGAGGGUUGGGCCAGCAUCGGUUUUGACGGUGGGAUAAAGGCUUGAGGAAUGUGGCUCACCGAUACCGGAGAGUGUUAUAGCCUCGGGUGCAAUGCUACCUGUCGGGACCGAGGACCGCGCUUUUGCUAGGAUGCUGGC
rnacentral:rRNA from 1 species